UGACCCAAACCCUCACCAGAGUAGCAAUUGGAGGGCAAGUCUGGUGCCAGCAGCCGCGGUAAUUCCAGCUCCAAUAGCGUAUAUUAAACUUGUUGCAGUUAAAAAGCUCGUAGUUGAACUUUAGCGUGUUCGAGUUUGCCAUUCGUUUGGCCUUUUCGAGUUCGCUUUUGGGUUUUCCCUUUUUACUUUGAGAAAAUUAGAGUGUUUCAAGCAGACUUUUGUCUUGAAUACUUCAGCAUGGAAUAAUAGAGUAGGACUUUGGUUCUAUUUUGUUGGUUAUUGAACCUUAGUAAUGGUUAAUAGGAACGGUUGGGGGCAUUCGUAUUUAACUGUCAGAGGUGAAAUUCUUAGAUUUGUUAAAGACGAACUACUGCGAAAGCAUUUGCCAAGGACGUUUCCAUUAAUCAAGAACGAAAG
rnacentral:rRNA from 1 species